rnacentral:rRNA from 1 species
CGGCACGGGUGAGUAACACGUAUCCAACCUGCCGUCUACUCUUGGCCAGCCUUCUGAAAGGAAGAUUAAUCCAGGAUGGCAUCAUGAGUUCACAUGUCCGCAUGAUUAAAGGUAUUUUCCGGUAGACGAUGGGGAUGCGUUCCAUUAGAUAGUAGGUGGGGUAACGGCCCACCUAGUCAACGAUGGAUAGGGGUUCUGAGAGGAAGGUCCCCCACAUUGGAACUGAGACACGGUCCAA